UGUAUCCUGUGCAGACUGCAGAACAAACUUAGCAAUGGUAUUAAACCCAGAACAUGCAUGGAUGAGAGGAAACAAUAAAAUAGAUUCAAGUGAGGUGCAGAACUAACUACGUUAAUUAGAUAACCACCUGACUCAAAAGUUCCAACAAGACCAAAGAUUGUUUCAAGCACCAUAUACAUUUGAUAGAAGGUCUAACAUACAAUAUACAUGAAUUACUACCGAUCUACUUAACUCUGGUCAGCAUUUAUACAAUAUUACAAAUCUAACACAGCUAGUUAAUUUUGGAACUCAAAAAGUUAGAAACUUUGUCUAUCAUUUCUGGCAAAGCAACUUGCCUUCAAGUACCUUCAGAGAGUUGUUAAUAAGCAGAGCCAAUCUUUCCAAAUCUGUAAACAAUGACAGAGUCAGCUCAGUCCUCACUGAGCAGUCACAGUUUGAUCCCUGAACAAACCAGCUUGAAAAUUUCAAGGAACGAGGCGCACGCCAGGAUUGACAAAGCUGAUGCUAGGGAAACCACCGAAAUUACGAAAUAACAUUUCUGAACUGUUGCAUGCUGCCUCUGGGAAUUGAUUCCGAUCAACAACCCGCUAGAUGCUGCGGCGAAGGAGAGCAUGACGGAGAACACCAG
rnacentral:lncRNA from 1 species